CUAGCACCGGCGACGCAUCUUUCAAAUGUCUGCCUUAUCAACUGUCGAUGGUAGGUUAUGCGCCUACCAUGGUUGCAACGGGUAACGGGGAAUCGGGGUUCGAUUCCGGAGAGGGAGCCUGAGAAACGGCUACCACAUCCAAGGAAGGCAGCAGGCGCGCAAAUUACCCACUCCCGGCACGGGGAGGUAGUGACGAAAAAUAACGAUGCAGGACUCAUCCGAGGCCCUGUGAUUGGAAUGAGUACACUUUAAAUCCUUUAACGAGGACCUAUUGGAGGGCAAGUCUGGUGCCAGCAGCCGCGGUAACUCCAGCUCCAAUAGCGUAUAUUAAAGUUGCUGCGGUUAAAAAGCUCGUAGUUGGAUAUCGGUCGCGAUCAGGUGGUGCCGCCUCGCGGUGUGCACUGCCUCGAUUGGACAAUCCACCGGACUGUCCGGGGUGCUCUUAACCGAGUGUCCUGGGUGGCCGGUACGUUUACUUUGAACAAAUUAGAGUGCUUAAAGCAGGUGCUCCGCGCCUGAAUAUCACAGCAUGGAAUGAUGGAAUAGGACCUCGGUCUUAUUUUGUUGGUUUUCUGGACUUGAGGUAAUGGUUAAUAGAGACAGACGGGGGCAUUCGUACUGCGACGCUAGAGGUGAAAUUCUUGGACCGUCGCAAGACGAACAACUGCGAAAGCAUUUGCCAAGAAUGUUUUCAUUAAUCAAGAACGAAAGUUAGAGGUUCGAAGGCGAUCAGAUACCGCCCUAGUUCUAACCAUAAACGAUGCCAACCAGCGAUCCGCAGACGUUACUUCAAUGACUCUGCGGGCAGCUUCCGGGAAACCAAAGUUUUUGGGUUCCGGGGGAAGUAUGGUUGCAAAGCUGAAACUUAAAGGAAUUGACGGAAGGGCACCACCAGGAGUGGAGCCUGCGGCUUAAUUUGACUCAACACGGGAAACCUCACCAGGCCCGGACACUGGAAGGAUUGACAGAUUGAGAGCUCUUUCUUGAUUCGGUGGGUGGUGGUGCAUGGCCGUUCUUAGUUGGUGGAGCGAUUUGUCUGGUUAAUUCCGAUAACGAACGAGACUCUAGCCUGCUAAAUAGAUGACGUAUCUUCGGGUACGUUACUCUUCUUAGAGGGACAAGUGGCGUCUAGCCAUAUGAAAGUGAGCAAUAACAGGUCUGUGAUGCCCUUAGAUGUCCUGGGCCGCACGCGCGCUACACUGAAAGAAUCAGCGCGU
rnacentral:rRNA from 1 species